GCAAGUCGAACGAGACCUUCGGGUCUAGUGGCGCACGGGUGCGUAACGCGUUGGAACCUGCCCAAAUGUGCGGAAUAACUCAGGGAAACUUGAGCUAAUACCGCAUGAUGCCGAAAGGCCAAAGAUUUAUCGCCUUUGGAUGGGCCCGCGUCGGAUUAGCUUGUUGGUGGGGUAAUGGCCAACAAAGGCGACGAUCCGUAGCUGGUUUGAGAGGAUGAGC
rnacentral:rRNA from 1 species